rnacentral:rRNA from 1 species
UAGGGAAUCUUCGGCAAUGGACGAAAGUCUGACCGAGCAACGCCGCGUGAGUGAAGAAGGUUUUCGGAUCGUAAAACUCUGUUGUUAGAGAAGAACAAGGACGUUAGUAACUGAACGUCCCCUGACGGUAUCUAACCAGAAAGCCACGGCUAACUACGUGCCAGCAGCCGCGGUAAUACGUAGGUGGCAAGCGGUGUCUGGAUUUAUUUGGCGUAAAGCGAGCGCAGGCGGUUUCUUAAGUCUGAUGUGAAAGCGCCCGGCUCAACCGGGGAGGGUCAUUGGAAACUGGGAGACUUGAGUGCAGAAGGGGGGAGUGGAAUUCCAUGUGGAGCGGUGAAAUGCGUAGAUAUAUGGAGGAACACCAGUGGCGAGGGCGGCUCUCUGGUCUGAAACUGACGCUGAGGCUCGAAAGCGUGGGGAGCAAACAGG